rnacentral:rRNA from 1 species
GACGAACGCUGGCGGCGUGCUUAACACAUGCAAGUCGAACGGAAAGGCCCUGCUUUUGUGGGGUGCUCGAGUGGCGAACGGGUGAGUAACACGCGAGUAACCUGCCCCUGACUUUGGGAUAACUUUAGGAAACUGGGGCUAAUAUCGGAUAGGAGAUCUUGCUGCAUGGUGUUGGAUGGUAAGAUUCGGCGGUGGGGGAUGGACUCGCGGCUUAUCAGCUUGUUGGUGGGGUAGUGGCUUACCAAGGCUGUGACGGGUAGCCGGCAUGAGAGGUGGACCGGGGACAUUGGGACUGAGAUACGGAGCAGACGCGUAUGGGAGGCAGCAGGGGGGAAUAUUGCGGAGUGGGCGGAAGCCUGAUGCAGCGAUGCCGCGUGCGGGAUGACGGCCUUUGGGUUGUAAACAGCUUUCGCCUGUGACGAAGCGUGAGUGACGGUAAUGGGUAAAGAAGCCCCGGCUAACUACGUG